rnacentral:rRNA from 1 species
UGAGUACGAGCGGCUACGGCCGCGAAGUGGAUGAUGUCAAGCUUCCAAGAAAAGCCCUAUACCCGUUAAGGCAUGAUGGCCUGUACCCGAAACCGACACAGGUGGGGUGGUAGAGAAUACCGAGGGGCGCGAGGUAACUCUCUCUAAGGAACUCGGCAAAAUGGCCCCGUAACUUCGGGAGAAGGGGUGCCACCGCGAGGUGGUCGCAGUGGAGAGGCCCAGGCGACUGUUUACCAAAAACACAGGUCACCGCUAAGUCGCAAGACGAUGUAUGGGGGCUGACGCCUGCCCAGUGCCGGAAGGUUAAGGAAGCUGGUCAGCGCAAGCGAAGCUGGCGACUGAAGCCCCGGUGAACGGCGGCCGUAACAAUAACGGUCCUAAGGUAGCGAAAUUCCUUGUCGGGUAAGUUCCGACCCGCACGAAGGGCGUAACGAUCUGGGCGCUGUCUCGGAGAGAGGCUCGGCGAAAUAGAAUUGCCUGUGAAGAUGCGGACUACGUGCACCCGGACAGAAAGACCCUAUGAAGCUUUACUGUAGCUUGGUAUUGUGCUCGGGCUCGGAAUGCGCAGGAUAGGUGGGAGGCUUUGAUCCAUUGCUUGCGGGUGAUGGUGAGCCACUGGUGAGAUACCACUCUUUCCGAGCUAGAGUCCUAACAGCAACCCGUUAUCCGGGUGCUGGACAGUAUCAGGUGGGCAGUUUGACUGGGGCGGUCGCCUCCUAAAAGGUAACGGAGGCGCGCAAAGGUCUGCUCAGGCUGGUUGGAAAUCAGCCGACGAGUGUAAAAGCAGAAGCAGGCUUGACUGUGAGACCUACAAGUCGAACAGGGAGGAAACUCGGCUUUAGUGAUCCGACGGUUCUGCGUGGAAGGGCCGUCGCUCAACGGAUAAAAGUUACUCUAAGGAUAACAGGCUGAUCUCCCCCAAGAGUUCACAUCGACGGGGAGGUUUGGCACCUCGAUGUCGGCUCAUCGCAACCUGGGCUGAAGUCGGUCCCAAGGGUUGGGCUGUUCGCCCAUUAAAGCGGUACGCGAGCUGGGUUCAGAACGUCGUGAGACAGUUCGGUCCAUAUCCGGUGCACGCGCAGGAAUAUUGAGAGGAUUUCUCCCUAGUACGAGAGGACCGGGAGGAACGCACCUCUGGUGUGCCAGUUAUCGUGCCAACGGUAAACGCUGGGUAGCCAUGUGCGGAGUGGAUAACCGCUGAAAGCAUCUAAGUGGGAAGCCCACCUCAAGAUGAGUAUUCCCAUGGCAUAAGCCAGUAAGGUCACGGGAAGAACACCCGUUGAUAGGCUCUACGUGGAAGCGCAGUAAUGUGUGAAGCGGAGGAGUACUAAUAGACCGAGGGCUUGAC